rfam:Capsella rubella cultivar Monte Gargano unplaced genomic scaffold scaffold_7, whole genome shotgun sequence.
AGAAGGAAACAGAGCCAAGGUCAACUUGCCGGACAACCAAAACAUCAAUCAGUUCAAGAUUUCGUUUGGUAAGAAUCGGCAAGUCAUCCUUGGCUCAACCUCAUUCUCU